AGUCUGGCAGUGGCUUACGAUUUAUAAAAAGAGAGCAUUGUCACAAAUGUCUCGCAUAGGUGAGAGAGAUGUUUGUGGAACAAUCAUUAUCACUGCGGCAGCGGAGCUCCAGUUCCGAGCUGUGUUGAAUUGAAUACGGAGAGAGGUGAGGAAUAGUAUUUGGAUACCUUGGAGUUUUUACCACAUUCAGAGAUGUUCUUCUGAGAGGGAAACAGUGUGUUUGAUUCCCAGUGGAAGCUCAACGGACACCAUUCUGUUUCGUUGUUUUGGGGUUUUUUAAGAUUUCAGAUGCCAGGAAGUAUCCCUUGAAUCGGAAUGAAUGAUUGACAAUGACGAUUAUUAGGGGUUUAUUGUGCCGCGGCUCCUUCCGUGACACAUGGGAUCAUGCCUCGGAUCGAUGCUUUCAUUUCUUCCCCUGUCUCUCCGAUCCCGGUAUUACUAGUAUUACUUCUUCUUCUGUUUCUCAAUCAUUUCAUUUGUUCAUAUAUUUACAUAGUUUUUUUUUU
rnacentral:lncRNA from 1 species